CCGAGCGCGCACUGAAUGCAGCUGAAGUGUGAGUCGUACAGCAUGUGAACUCUGUCGUUCUGUUGGCUUGGUUUGGGCUUUUGGUUUGGGCAUUCUGACUAAGCAGCCCCCAGGCUGGUCUCGAACCCUCCGGUGCUGGAACGCAGACAUCACAGUUUGACAUGGACGGCACUGCCAACUUCUGCUCCCGACUCUGGCCCUACGACCUUGGACCACGGUGUUGUCAGCUUCAGUACACUGACCUUGGGAGAACACUCGCUUAGGCUAGCCUGGUCUACUGAGCAAGUUCUAGGACAGCCGCCAAAGCUACGGAGAAUCCCUGUCUCGAAAAACCAUAAAGAAACAUCGUUGGGGUUUUAUCAGGCCAACAGACUCCUCUAAUCAUCUGUGCCUUUGGCUGUGCAGCGUCUGUCACCUGUCUUCCCUCUGGGGAUGCAGUGAUGCUGUUUUACUAGCUGGCGCUCAGCUGGUCCCCGUUCUCAGGGGCAUCAUGUUGGUUGCCUGAAAUCUGCCACAAGAGAAGUGUUUCCACCAGAGACACUGGCAAAGGUGUGCAAUAUUAUCACGGUUAAUUUCUGCCUUUGGACAUUGGACUCAAGACCUUGUAUGCAAGCUAAGCAAGUACUCCACCGCCGAGUUACAACCCUUGUCUCCCACUCUUUGCCUGGACUGUUUCUGCUUACCCUCCAAGACGGUUCUGUCAGGCAGUCUUGGAUUCCCAUGGAGCAAUAUGGAGAAGCAAUCAACUUCUCUGUUAAGUGUGUGGGGCUGAGUGCUGUGCAAACAUAACUUCCUGCCUCCAUUAAAGCCUUUGCAUCUCGU